GGAGUUUUAUUCUGUGCAGAAACUCAUGGACAAUUACUGGACCUACAGGACUUAAAGGGUGAACGGAAUAGGUUUACUGGACUGGACUGAGGGUAAUUUCUAAACUGGACUGGAGAGGAUUAACUGGACUGGGUCACUUAACUGGACACACACAGGUCAAAAUCAGUGAUGGAGCGACUGGCCGAUUUACUGAAGUAGCUGGAUGACCUGGUCUGGAUCUCUGGACUGGGCUGCAGCUUCCAACAGAGUGACUCAGUGCUGGAGCUUCUGCUGCUUCUGUGGAGGAAAUGUGCUUCUGCUGGGAGAGAACUGGAGCAGAGGAACUGAACUGGACUCGAGCAGACUGGGCUGGAUUACCUGGACCACACUUAGUUUGUGAGAUUUUGUAAGGUCCUCCUUCCUGGAGCUCCAGUAACGUCCUGCAAACCUGCAGCUUCACAGUUCCUCACACUUGUGCUCCAACUGCGUCCAGCGUUGUGUUGUGGGGAAACACGGCCCUGACGAAGAACCGGGCUGGAGUUCUGGACUGAACUGGACCUGCUGCUGUAAUGUGUGUCAAAGCUGGAGCUGCACAGUUGUCCGGACUUGUUCACAACUCUGUCCAGCAGCACAUGUGCAGCUAAUGCUGAGGAACCCUGCCGACAGCUCCAAAUCAUCAGCCUGCAAAAGCUUCACACAACAGGUGAAGAACAAUUGGCUAAAGAUAUGACCUGUAACCUGUAUAUGUGUGGAAUAAACGUCUAGAUGACUGUCAGGUCUCAGAGGUCCAGCGCUCUCUUUUGGUCUCCAGCAGCACGUCGGGGCCCGGCUCUGUGUGGACUAAAUUUGGGCUGGGCUGGCCCUUUUUAUCUGCAGACUGAAGCUGGACUCAGCACAAGGGCCAUGGCUGACUGAUUUAUGCCUCUCAGACCAAGGAGAGUAUUUCAGGACUUCGACCAAGUGGGACAACACUGCCGUCUGUGAAGACAUCGCAUCAGCUGUGUGUGUGAGUAUGCAGGUUCAAUUCCCAGUGAUGCCACAGGCACCUGCCAGUGACCGGGGAGUCCCAGAGAGCCUAACUGUUCUUUACCUUACAUUACUAUUUAACCUUUUCUCCUGUUUUAUUUUAUUUUUCGUUUACUGUUUACUUUAAUUCUCUCUCUUUUUAUGAGAGCUACUGUUUUAUGAGAGCUAUUACCUGUGAGAACAUCACCAGUUUUGAUGAGUGAAAGACAGACGGACAGAAAGAGACAGAGAGGGAGAGAGAGAUUAUGUUUCCACUGCUUAUAGAUAUAGAUAUUAAUUUCAGUAUGCUCCUAAAUUAAUUAGCAGUUUAAAGCUUUGUGUAUUUCAAUAUAUUUAUUAUUUAGACCACAUAUUCAUAUUAAACGUUUGUACUGCACAAAAUGAUCACCCAAAUAUAGCAAGCAUAAAACUUGCACUGCUUCCUCCUUCACUCCCCAAAAUUCAACUAACAACAAGUAGAUUUUACAGAUAAAUCAGACCUAAUUUAAGUAUUUAUUUAUUUAGUCCUUCUCAUUCCGCAAUCCUAUGGGUGGGAUAAAUGGAACAUCCACCAAAAUACUUGUAAGUUUUUGUCUAUGUUUUAAAUAGAUAUGUAUACACAGUAACACAUAAUAUAUCUAUACCCAGUAUGUUAAUAUAUUUUAGAUCACUGUGAAAGAAGCAAAAGUAACAAGAGGCAUGUUUCAGUCAAAAUUAGUUGUAUGUGGACAACACCUGUGUUUACAAAGUUCAAGAUAGUCUUAGAAAUGUUUACAAUGUGUUUUUUAUAUUAUAUCAGCAUCUUUAAUUUUUUUUUAAUGUCUGUGUUCAGAUCUGAUAGGACUGUGUAUAGAUUAAUGACACAUUUACAAACAUUUCAAAGGCUCAGACUCCGGUAGGUGGGGAGAUGGAGGGGUUAUUACUUAUGGAAUUAAAAAAAUUAGAGAUAAUUCUGAAAGAGGGGCACAUUGGCCCCUCGCUGCACUGUAUACAUCAGCACGUCACCACCUGAGAAUCAGUGUGUAACACCUACCUCACCAUGCCUCACCAUACCUCACUGUUCAACAUUUACAAUAAUAUUAGAGCUCUUUAAACAAACACCCAAAGAUCGUACAUUACUUGUUUUUUUUUUAAUAAAUCAGUUACUCUUGCAUUUUAUUAAUGAACUUAAAACACAGUAAUUUUUAACACAAUUAUUGUUGUUAUUUGUAUUUGUAUUUUUUAAUACUUGUGAAACUGAUUGUGUGUUUAAAUGUAAGUAUGUAAGUACAGUAUAUGCAUGUAGUUCAUAUAUAUCCUUUUGUAAAUUGGCCAAAACCUGUAUUUUAAUAAUUGCUAUGUUUAUACAUGUACAGUAUUUAUAUGUAAUUCUUGUUUUUAUUUAUUUAUUUUAUAGUAAUUUGUUGUUAUUGUUUUUGUUGUAAUGCUCUGACAACAUGUUUUAAAUACAGUCAUGUCAAUAAAGCUACUUUGAAUCUGGAAGCAUUGAAUCUUUGAGAACAAGUGUGGGAGAGAGAGAGAGAAAGAGAGAGAGAGAGAGAGAGAGAGAGAGAGAAAGAUAGAGAGAGGUUGCUGAAGGUUGGUGAAGCGAGUUGCUUAAUAUAGUCAGGCAUUUUCAGCAUCUCUCACUGCGCUCGAAAACCCCAGCCCUGCGACCCACAGCACUAACAGCCCUGUGUUUAUGAUGGACCACACUGCAUAUGCACACACACAGACACACACACUCUCUCACACAAACACACAGCAGUAAUAUCCUCCAGUGUGAGAAAUGAGUCACUUAAUAAACAGUCGUGAGAAAACAGCCAAAGAUGGCUAUAGCUAGCACUGAUUAGCUGUAUAGCUCCACUAGCUGCUGCUGACUGUCUAAUGAACACAUCAGCAGCAGGCCUCUGCUGUUAGCUUAUUAACCCACCUCUGUUUAAAGCCUGCACAGGGAUCACCUUAAACAGCUCAAUACCACAGAACACAGGUCCUUUUUACAAUAAAAUAUAAAAAGUCCAGUUCAGCACUUUAGCCACACCAAUUUACCCUACAGCAGUUUAGCUCCACCCAUUUAGCCUACAGCAGUUUAGCUCCAUCUAUUUAGCCUAUUGCUCUUUAGCUCCACUCAUUCAGCCUACAGCAGUUUAGCCCCACCUAUUCAGCCUACAGCAGUUUAGCUCCACCCAUUCAGCCUACAGCAGUUUGGCCCCACCCAUUCAGCCUACAGCAGUUUAGCCCCACCUAUUCAGCCUUCAG